AUUCCACUUGAGUGUUCAAUUUGAGUGUGUAAAAUUUGGAGAAUCACCGGUUUGCUUUAUCCUUAUGAUGUCAAUCAUAGUUAUUUUUGUUGUAUUUUUUGUUUGUAAUAUCUAAAAGGAAGAUUUUGUAUUAUUGUCAAUGAAACAAUUAUCCAUCCAUGAAGACUUAAAAGUUGCACUGCUUCACGUUUACACAAUGUAUAUUUUUCUUGGGACAAACACAAGGACUCUCUCUAUAUAUUAAAAGCGAAUAUCAGCUCUAUCUAAAUUUGAAAAAGACAAUUCCUGUCUCUAAACAAAACAAUGUGCUUUGAUGUGUAAGUUCUCUUUUUAUGAGGUUCUGUUUUUAUAUAAUUAUGCAUUUCUUUCUGUAAGGUAAUGUUUUCUCAGAUAAAAUAGCGUCAUCAAUUAAUGUGUGUGUGAAGAUAAAUAAACAAGUCCAUGAAAUAAACGAGCACGAUCACAGUAAUUUUAAAUAUUCACUUGUUAUCAUCUAUCAUGCUGACUUAUAUAUAUAGGAUUGCUAUCAUAUGAUGCAACUUUUCCCGAUAAGAAUUCAACCAAUAACAUACCCUGAAACGAUUUCAGUCCAC
rnacentral:lncRNA from 1 species